CCUGGUAUGGACAAGUAAGGGUAACAUUUCCAACAAAUCUUAAAUGUAAAUAUUAUUAUGUCCAUAGAUUGAAGUUUCAGGUGGAGAGCAAGAUGAAAAAUAUGCAAAAUUACAUGCAUGCAACCCAUUUAUGCCAUUUUUCUCUUUGUUUGUAGGCCUGACCGUUUGUCCUUGAGCCGUAGAUGGUCAACAAUCUGCUAGCUGUCUUGCUCUGACUGGUGCACUGGACAUGAUUUCAAUAGUCAGCCAGACCAUGAUUGAGCUUAAGGAUUGUGCUGCGGAUGCAGCCUGUGCAGUUCCGGGAGAAAGUCACUGUCUCGGGCAAUGCGGUCUGGUAUCAGGUCUGGAUGAUCCUUGCCUGACUGCGGAUUUGUGUACACCUCAAUCCGACUCUGUGUCCUGAACAGAGGCCGCAGUGGUGCAGCGCUUGUGGACGAUCCAUCAACAUCCUGAAAGGUCAACACCA